AAAUGUGAGCACAGUCUGGCUGUGAUGUCUGUCACCUCAUUGAUCAGCAGGGUUGAUCUGGCUGAUCUGGCUGACUAGACGGGUGUCCCCUCCUUCCCUCACCACUCUGUGUGUGUCCCUCCCAAAGCUGCACACUUGGUUGAAGAGGAGGACAGUUCUUUUGUAUACAAGUAGCUAUACUCCUCUGCUAGAACCUCCAAACAAGCUCUAAGGGUCCAUUUGUAGGAGAGCGCAGGGUAGUUAGUUAGGCUUGCAAGACUCCAGACACAUUCAAAUGCGGCCCUGCAUGUCAUAGACCCUCCAACAUUU
rnacentral:snRNA from 1 species